AUGUCUUAGGUAUAAUAAAAACAUAUUCAGACACAACAAAUACACCAGGACUUACAAAUAUAUAUAACAUGGAGAAAAUUGCACUACUGGGCACUAUACACACCCGACGCAAAACACUUUAAAUACAGUAACCAUACGAGCA